AGCAGUUUGGGCUAUUAUUGUGAUCCAAAUUCUGGCCUUUAUUGCUCUGCAGAACGGGUCCAAGAACUUUGUUGUACUUGUAACGAUGGUGCAAGUAAUGGUGGCAACACAUCAUCUUAUGCAAUCUAGAAUGCAUCUAUAAGAAGGAACAAACAUAUCAGGAAAUCACCUGACCUUUUUGGCUGUGGCGGUAACAAUUCUGAUGUUAUCAUGGAGGAAAAUGGUUCUGAAAUUAUUACAACCAAUUCUGAUGCCUAUAACUUACACGAGGGAAGUAGAUUCUAAUUUAGAACUUGAGCAAGGAUUAAGAAGGGAUUUGGAGAGGAAGGAGUAUUCUAUUUUUUAGCAGUCACUUGCUGGAUUUGGAAAUCAAGCUUAAGGAUUUUAAGGUGCAUAGGAUGGAAAACAUGGAGGACCACUGGCCCUAUAAGACGUGCUAAAGGUGGUUGGACUGCAGAGGUUUAUUUAUCAAUUCUGCUACCGGAGGUUUUCUGUUUCUGCACUGAAUUGACGCAUCUGAUCUGGUUCGUUUUUGCUAGUGAUAUACCUUUGCUUUCAUUGUGUGAGUGAGUGGAAGAUGUCUGAUGCUUGCUGCUGCUGAUAUAUGAUUGCUUGGUGUGUUGUGAUUCCUAGUCCAUUGUGGUUCAUGCCGGUGUUUUCAGAAUUUGGUGUACAAGCAAGUUGCUGUCGUGAUUUCAACUAUUGUACUGUGAGAUGAUGGUUAAUGCAGAAAUUUCAGUCUUUUAUGGCCUUUGAGGGGUGGUUACUUGCUGCUAGGACUCUAAAAGGGUGCUGCGAUUUACUCCAGUGAUAUCUACCUGGAUCCUUGUUGAUGUGCGUUUGAUUGUAUGGCAGAAGGCAAAGGUGCUUUACGGCUUUUUGAGGGGUGCCUAUAUCUGAUCUUAGACAACAAAAAUAUAUGUUGAUAUGUGUUAUGUUGUUGUUAUGCAGCUGCAGUUUGUUGUUUUUUGUUAUCAGUUAGUUAUAAGUUGUAGCUUCUUGUUUUUAUUGUUUCUUUUUUAUGCUGCUCUUUUCUUUUAAGAGAUGCUAUGAUUUUUAUCCUUACUUGGGAGAGUUUGUUCCCAAGGUUUUUUUUAUCAAUAUAUCUAUU